rnacentral:rRNA from 1 species
AUGAGGGUGUUCCUUCCGGGCCUUGGGCGAGGGGCCAGACCGCCUUGGAAGGACAUGGCGGAGGAACUACUGGCCCGUCUCACCCUGCAGGAGGAAGAAGAGGAUGAUUUUGUUUGGGAAGAGGAACUCCCAGAUAUGAUGGAACCGGCGAGGUGGCUGGCGAUCGUGAGGGUUCACACAACAAAAACCUUCAGCCCUAACGCAUUGUACGGUGACAUGAGGGCGUCCUGGAACCCGGCAAAGACAGUAGUCUGGAGGAAGAUCAGAGAGAACCUGUUUACGACGCAAUUCGGCUGCCUUACAGAUUGGAAGAAAGCGAUGCUUGAUGGUCCUUGGCUGUUUAGGGAUCAGGCGGUGAUCCUGGAGGAGUAUGAUGGAUUCAAAAACCCUGAUUCGUUCAAGUUGGAUAAGAUUGAGGUGUGGGCUCAGAUCCAUCGCCUACCUGACAAUUUUCUUAUUGAGUCGGCGGUGAAGGGACUUGCGUCACGGAUCGGUGAGGUGAUGGAGGUGCAGCUGAAGUUGCCGGCGGGAUUUUUUGGCAAAUUUGUGAGAGUUAGAGUCAAGAUUGAUGUGAAUGCAAAAAUCAAAUGA